rnacentral:rRNA from 1 species
UACGAAGGGGGCUAGCGUUGUUCGGAAUCACUGGGCGUAAAGGGCGCGUAGGCGGCUUUGUAAGUCGGGGGGUGAAAGCCUGUGGCUCAACCACAGAAUUUGCCUUCGAUACUGCAUGGCUUGAGACCGGAAGAGGUAAGUGGAACUGCGAGUGUAGAGGUGAAAUUCGUAGAUAUUCGCAAGAACACCAGUGGCGAAGGCGGCUUACUGGUCCGGUUCUGACGCUGAGG